rnacentral:rRNA from 1 species
UACGGAGGGUGCAAGCGUUAUCCGGAUUCACUGGGUUUAAAGGGUGCGUAGGUGGCUUUUAAGUCAGGGGUGAAAGACGGUAGCUUAACUAUCGCAGUGCCUUUGAUACUGAAGAGCUUGAAUGAACUAGAGGUAGGCGGAAUGUGACAAGUAGCGGUGAAAUGCAUAGAUAUGUCACAGAACACCAAUUGCGAAGGCAGCUUACUAUGGUUAGAUUGACACUGAGGCACGAAAGCGUGGGAUCAAACAGG